UGGCAGUGGUAGUGGUAGUGGUAGUGGCAGUGGCAGUAGCAGUAGCAGUGGCAAUAGUAGCAGAAGCAGCAGUAGUACUAACAGUGGCUGUAAUGACAGAAGCAGCAAUAGUAGCAGUGGUAUUGGUAGUACUACUAGCGCCUGUAACCAAAAGAUAAAACCACAUAAAACAAUUUUGCAAAACCCAAAUGACAAGUUAAUAAAUUUGAAAAUAUUUUUUAUUAUAGAAGAAGAAUUUGUUAAGACUAAGAUGCGCAACUCAUUUCGAUGUACAAAAAAUAAGAUACUUAAAAAUAACAAUUUAGAAUCUGAAAUAUUUUUAAAAAAAGAUUAUUUUUUUGUAGAAGAUUUAGGGAUAUAUUAUUUAAUAAAAAAUAAUGAAAGAAAAACUAAGUUAAUGAGACAUUAUAAAAAUCAACUUUUUUAUUUUUAUAAAAAUAAUACACCAAGUUUAUUUUUGAGACACAAUGAUAUACCUAGUUUAAGUGGUAAAUAUGUGGAUGAUAAAUAUGUAUAUACUCAAGACAUAAUUAACAACUCCUAUUUUAAUAAUAAUUAUGGAAAUAAUGAAAUGGAAGAUAAUGCAUUCGUUUCAGAUGAAUUAGAAAUAUUUUCUAAAUAUUUGGCUGUUCCUUUAUUUAUGAAAGAUGUUUUUACAUUUUUUGAAUUGAAUUUAAAUAAAAAUAUAAUAGCUCACAGUUUUAAUGAAUUAUUUUAUAAAAGUAUAAAUAAUAAUAAUAAAAAAAAACAACAACAAAAUGAAAAAAUGAUAGGUACUAAUGAUAAUGAAGAAGAGGAUAUUACUACGCCAUUGUCAUCAUCUGUUUCAUCAGAAAGUGAGAAAGAAUAUGCUAUGGAUAAAAUGUCAUUUAUAAAAAAACAGAACAAUAACAAAAAAAGUUUAUUAUAUGAUAGUACUAUACUAAACUAUUUAAGUAAUAAAUAUAAUCGCUUAAAUAAUUAUCAAUUGUACAUAGUAAAUAUAAUAUUUAUUAGUAAAUAUAUUAAGAACGUGUUAUUAAAAAAAAGUAUUGUAAUGAAGAGAAAAAAAAAAAAAAAUAAAGAAGACAAAAUAAAAUAUGAUUAUGAAAUAUAUUAUAAAGACGAUUUAAUUUAUCAGUUUAACUUGUUUCAAGCAUUUUUUAAAAAUUUAUCUUCUUUUUUAAUGAUUUUUCCUAAAAAAUUUAUUUUGAAUCAUUCAGAAUAUCUUUUUGCUCACAAUAAAGAUCAAAUUAUGAAUAAACAUUUUAAUUUCUUAUUAGAAAAUUACAUAAACAAGUUUUCACCAUAAUGAUGACAUCCCUUAGAAUUAGGCUUUGACCCCCUUUAAGAUUGGUCUUUGACUCCCUUUAAGAUUGGUCUUUGACUCNNNNNNNNNNGUCUUUGACUCCCUUUAAGAUUGGUCUUUGACUCCCU
rnacentral:lncRNA from 1 species